CGGGUGUAGUUUAAUGGUAGAAUACCAGCUUCCCAAGCUGAUGACGGGGGUUCGAUUCCCCUCACCC
rnacentral:tRNA from 1 species